CCAGCGUGCCGGUCAUCCACCGCCGCUCAUCCGCCGCCUGCAUCCACCGUCAGUCAUCCACCGCCGCUCCACCACGCCUGCAUCCACGCCGGUCAUCCACCACGCCUGCAUCCACCGUCAGUCAUCCACCGCCGCUCAUCCACCGUCAGUCAUCCGCCGCAAUUUAAAGUGUUUGGUUAUAUCUGAGUUAUGCUGUUCUAAUGAAGUUAAUUUGGAUGAGCUCACUGAAGAUAUAAUGUCACUUGAUAUUAGUGGAGAAUCAAAUGCUUCAAACUCAAUGAACACUUCUAAGGUAACCACUCCAAAUGCUUCGAGUAGUGUUGCUAAAAAACAAUGAACAAUCUAAGGUUUGAAUUGUUGGAAUUAAAGAUCUAAGAGGAGAACCAUGGCAACUUGGAAACUUUGAACUUGUUUUUAAUGGAUAUAUUGAAUUAUUUAAGUCUUUUGUGAUUUGCCGUUUAUGGAUUUUUGUUUUAAACUUGUUAAGUAUUCAGUAUUUUGUGGAUUAUUUAAGCUGUUUGUGAACUUUUGGCGAGUUUUGUUUCACUAAACAGGUUCUAAAUAUGUGAUUAUUUUAGUGUUAGUUAACAGGUAUUAACAGGUAAUUUUCGUGUAUUUCGUGUCGUGUUCG
rnacentral:lncRNA from 1 species